UUACGGUCAUAUAGCGUUGAAACACCGGUUCCCGUACGAUCACCGAAGUUAAGCAGCAACGAGACCGAUCAGUACCUUAAUGGGUGAUCGUUUGG